rnacentral:tRNA from 1 species
CAGGAGGUAGUUUAAGAAAAAAUGUUAGUUUUGGAGACUAAUGAUGAGGAAUUUACCUUUCUCUUGA